UCGCCGGCCCUCAGCUCAAACAGUCCCCCCUGGUAGACGGAGUGGAGGGCGUACUCGGCGUCCGGGGCCCAGCACUUUGUUCCCACCCCCUUCAAGAGCUGCACAGAAGCGGAAAUUCAGGCAGAGAGGGUGAAAACCGAUAUGAGGACGCUGGAAACAGGAAUUCAGCUGACUGUGCAGUCAGCAGAAAUACAGAGUAGAUAGACAGGAAGAAGAUGAGGAAAUCAACGGCCGAGUAGGAGGAGAGGAUGCAAAGGAGAUAAAGCUUAUCAGAUUCAAACCAGAACCUCAGCCAAAUUGAUGCACAGCUGCAGGAGGAAGUAUUCAGAUCCUUCCUUAAAGUAAAGGUACUAAUACAACACUAUAUAAAUUUUACAAGUCCUGAAAAUGUUACCUAAAUGUAUGUAAGCAAGUCCAGAAUAAAGCAAUUAAAGUAUUAGAAGUAAAAGUACUCGUUGAGUAAAUACAUUGAUUGUGUAUUUAUGUUCAGCAGUCCCACCAGCUGAUUGGUUAAUUUUCUGUGAUGUAUUAAUUUAGUGUCCAAACCUCCCACCCUUGCAGAUUUCUCAUAGCAGCUUCAACCAAACCCAAAGAAUUAUAAAACUAUACCUCCCAGGUCUGAUGGAGACACACGCAAUGUGGAUAAACUGCUCUCAUGUGCAGGCUUUUUGUCUUGGACGAGGACAGCGGGGAGGGGAGGUGAAAUAAAAGCAGUGUGGUGAGAUGAUAUCUCUCUGCAGACUUCAUUAGACUCCAGGCUGCACUGCGAGAUCUGCAGGCCGCGAAGUAUCCUGUUCAAAUAAAGUGAACAUGGACUGAACUGGGUGGGUGGAGAUGACAUAGCACCAUGUGGCAUUAAAAUGGAUUAAAGACUUUGUUCUCCUAAUGAGGCUGAGACACAAGGCUUUAUGGCGUCCCCUGCUGUUAUUCAGACAAGAAUCAAAGAUGACCGUCCCAAAACCGAUGGCAGCUAGAUGCAGUGUCCAUGCCAAACCUGCCCUCUGGGUGCACAAAUGUGAUUUUAUGGCCCUCUGUUAUCCAAACUCUUACUGCAGUAACUCUGCUUUGUGGGCCCCAGUAGGCCCGCUGUGCUCACUCUGCUCCAGGGCAGGAACUAUUUAUCUGUGUGUCAUGAUCAUUUAAAGGGAUUUUAAGGGACAUUAGAGUGUUAUGUGACCGCCCAACGGGAAAUCAUGCCAUGCCAGGGCUGCAUUACACAAGCGAAUUGAAAAAAAUAAGACAUUUCAGAGAAGAAUAUAGCCAAGUGUUACAAGCGCUUAAUGAACGCCUUGUGGACUUUUUACUUGAAACCACCAUUUUGGUAUGAAUGAAUGAAGAACAUGGAGGCACAUCAGCAUUUCAGGUGUCACCAUGAAAAACAAAAAAGACUUUUUUAAUGCAGCCAUACCUCAUGUCCCCUCACAGAAAGGAAUAAUCAUGCAAUCCCGUGAAACUGCUCUGAACAAAUGUGUGCAUAUC